GCACUGACUCCUUGGAAAAGACCCUGAUGCUGGGAAAGAUUGAAGGCAGGAGAAGAAGGGGACGAUGGAGGAUGAAAUGUUUGGAUGGCAUCACCAACUCAAUGGAGAUGAGUUUGAGUAAACUCUGGGAGCUGGUGAUGGACAGGGAGGCCUGGCAUGCUGUAGUUCAUGGAGGUCACAAAGAGUUGGACGUGACUGAACUGAACUGAAUUUUAAUUAUAACAGGUUUUUUUGUAUGCAUAUCUGUCUCUUGACAACUACUGUUUGACUUCUGAGUACAUAGAUACACACCCUGUUCAGACUCUUGUGGAUAUUUCAGCGUGAAAAUAGUGAAGAUAGCUGGUGAUGUGUGAAAUGCUGCCACAGUAUUGAUUUUCCUGCCACACAAACAAGAACAAACUGAAUUACUGCCAUCAUCCGAGCCUUUUAAUAAUUAUGGGAAAAGGCCAAGGUUAAGCUGAAAGGUGAAUUGUAUUUGGAAUGUAAUAUGACAUAUGGAUUUUUUGGAAAGGAUGGAGGUUGAAGAUGGAGAGCUUGUGAACUUUGCCCUGUUACAUAGUAUGCAUUUGUUUGACCAAGAUUAAAAAUCUGCUGUAAUAGGCAGACAUGUCCCCUUCAGAUAAUAUAGUUAUUAUUUAACUGUAGAUAAGGUGGUUGAAAAAAUUGUUACCUAAAAACAAAACAGUCUCAUAGUUAGUGAUUGAUACAUAUCACUGACAAAAUGAUGUAAGUUUACUGAUUUUAAGAUACCAAACAAAACAGUGAGAAAAUAAUAUUUCAUCCUUAGUACUAGAAGCUCUGGCUUGUAGGCUUCUAAAUUUCAAAUUAAAACUGGUUUCCUGCUUUGGAGUUUUCUCAGAAUUGUUUUCUUUUAGUUUUCAGAAACCUGCGUUCUUCAAAUGUAAACAUUCCAUUUGCUUUCAAGUGAUUAAAAAAUCUUGAGUUUAAUAUGUGGGUAUAUGACAUCUGAGAUAAUAUUCAAAUCAUGGUUUCUGUUAAUCAUCAAAAUGUUGAACUCAAUCAAGUAUCUUUUGUUUUCCUCUAAAUAAACAUUUUCCCAUGGUUUCACAUUUUAGUCACUUGCUUUAGAAUGAUGUAAAAAUAUAAUCUUGUGAACUCUGUGGUCCUAGUUAGUAAUAUUUAAGAUAGAAAACUUGUUAGGCAAUAAUUUCUCCUUUUAAAAAAUCUUUAUGAGACACUGAUGUAUAGAACAGUCUUUUGG
ensembl:lncRNA